rnacentral:rRNA from 1 species
GUGAGGAAUAUUGGUCAAUGGGCGAAAGCCUGAACCAGCCAUGUCGCGUGAAGGAUGAAGGUCCUAUGGAUUGUAAACUUCUUUUGCAUGAGGGUAAAGUGAGCUACGUGUAGUUCAUUGCAAGUACCCUGCGAAUAAGCAUCGGCUAACUCCGUGCCAGCAGCCGCGGUAAUACGGAGGAUGCGAGCGUUAUCCGGAUUUAUUGGGUUUAAAGGGUGCGUAGGCGGACUAAUUAGUCAGCGGUGAAAUUUUGCGGCUCAACCGUAAAACUGCCAUUGAAACUGUUAGUCUUGAGUGCGGUAGAGGUAGGCGGAAUGUGUGGUGUAGCGGUGAAAUGCUUAGAUAUCACACAGAACACCGAUUGCGUAGGCAGCUUACUGGAGCGCAACUGACGCUGAGGCACGAAAGCGUGGGGAUCGAACAGGAUUAGAAACCCUGGUAGUCC